rnacentral:rRNA from 1 species
UGGGUAGUCCGCACGAGCGCACCUCAUCUUUAUUGCCAUCAGUCCGGCUGGGCACUCUAGAGAAACUGCCUGGGAUGACCAGGAGGAAGGCGAGGAUGACGUCAAGUCCUCAUGGCCCUUAUGGGCUGGGCUACACACGUGCUACAAUGGCGGUGACAAAGGGAAGCAAUAGGGUGACCUGGAGCAAAUCCCCAAAAGCCGUCUCAGUUCGGAUUGUUCUCUGCAACUCGAGAGCAUGAAGUUGGAAUCGCUAGUAAUCGUAGAUCAGCAUGCUACGGUGAAUACGUUCCCGGGCCUUGUACACACCGCCCGUCACACCAUGGGAGUUGGUUUUACCCGAAGACGGUAUCCUAACCUUUUAGGAGGGAGCCGGCCACGGUAGGGUCAGCGACUGGGGUGAAGUCGUAACAAGGUAGCCGUAGGGGAACCCGCGGCUGGAUCACCUCCUUUCU